GACGAACGCUGGCGGCGUGCUUAACACAUGCAAGUCGAACGAUGAAGAAAAGAAUCGAAGCUUCGGCAGAAAUUCAUUUCGGAUUAGUGGCAGACGGGUGAGUAACGCGUGAGCAACCUACCUCUUACAAAGGGAUAGCCUCGGGAAACCGGGAUUAAUACCAUAUAACAUUGCGACGAAGCAUUUCGAUGCAAUCAAAGCUACGGCGGUAAGAGAUGGGCUCGCGUCCCAUUAACCGGAUGGUGAGGUAACGGCUCACCAUAGUGACGAUGGGUAACCGGCCUGAGAGGGUGAACGGUCACACUGGAACUGAGACACGGUCCAGACUCCUACGGGAGGCAGCAGUGGGGAAUAUUGCACAAUGGAGGGAACUCUGAUGCAGCGACGCCGCGUGAGUGAUGAAGGAAUUCGUUUCGUAAAACUCUGUUCUAUGGGAAGAAAAGGUCUGUACCAUAGGAGAAAGCGCCGGCUAAAUACGUG
rnacentral:rRNA from 1 species